rnacentral:rRNA from 1 species
UACGUAGGGUGCGAGCGUUGUCCGGAAUUACUGGGCGUAAAGAGCUCGUAGGUGGUUUGUCGCGUUGUUCGUGAAAACUCACAACUCAAUUGUGGGCGUGCGGGCGAUACGGGCAGACUAGAGUACUGCAGGGGAGACUGGAAUUCCUGGUGUAGCGGUGGAAUGCGCAGAUAUCAGGAGGAACACCGGUGGCGAAGGCGGGUCUCUGGGCAGUAACUGACGCUGAGGAGCGAAAGCGUGGGGAGCGAACAGG